AUAUACAUCUUUAAUGUACUUUAUUGACCUGAACUUUUUUAGCAAAAUAUUUUGAUGACUUAACCAGGGUGCUCAGAAAGGAAACCAAUACUUGGAUCAUAAUAUAUAUUGCCAGUCUUUAUAUAGAAUAGAUGCACAUCGCUACCUUUGAUUUUUAGAUUACACUUCGUGUUUUUCUCCUUGGGGUUUUUUUUAAGAUAAUUGAAGCGGUCUGAAAAACCUUUGAAGAAAACCCUCCAAGUGCUGCUCUGGGGGUUGUGCUGCUCUGGGGGGUUGUGCUGUCGCCCUUCAGGGUCUCACUGCCUCUCUGUGUUGUCCCACAGCGGUUAGGUGCGCUCGGAGCGGUUUGGGAGUCCCUGCGUGUGGAGCCCGGGCACGCCGCGGCACGCCGGGCACUGCCGGGGAGCAGCGCGCCGCAGAAGCGCCAUCCGCUGGCACAGAGCUGCCCGCUGCUGCAGGCUGCUAGCCAUGCAGCGGGGCUGCUGCCCCGCCUUGCGAUCUCUGCUAACACCGCACUCCAGCAGCAGACUGGAAUCUUCACGGAUCACUCAGACCCAUCUUCAUGGUUCUGGGAUUUGACCACAGGCUUGUUUCCCCUGGUAAGCUCAGCUUAAUUAUUUUUGAGAACAAAGCAGCUCUGGCACAAUAUGGCACCUCACACUACAGCGUGAAAGACAAGCAGGUAAAGUAGUAGUCUACAGCUUGAAGAGAAGCAUUUUGAAAAAUAAACCCAUACCUUUUGUUGCUGGC